GCCCAACUGGCUUAGUAGAGCAUGUGACUCUUGAUCUCAGGGUUGUGAGUUCAAGCCCCACAUUGGGCA
rnacentral:tRNA from 1 species